CCCCCUCCUAUGAGCCUUACUUUGGGACCUUGAGUUCCCUCUGAACUUGGACAUUUCAGGGCUGGCCCUUCCACACUGCACUAUAAUCAAUUCUGCAAUGUAUUUGGGUGUAAGCAUUGCCCAGAGUCCACUUGAGGCUCUUGGGAACUUUGACACACCCAAAAAUGAGAAAGGUUUUGGAAAUCCUAAUCUUUGGAGUUGGUUCAUCUCAUAUUUUAGACCUAACUUUGACACACCCAAAAAUGAGAAAGCCUUUGGAAAUCCUGAUCUUCGGAGUUGAUUCAUCUCAUAUUUUAGACCUUGAGUCUGAAUCAGGAUCCUUGAUUGUAGUUUAAUUUCUGAGGUAAUUUUACUUUUGGCCUUUAUUAAUUUGUAACAACUUACGGUGUUUUAGUAAAAAGGGGAGGGUCACUCGUGUAUGCAUACGGGUAGACAUCAUGUUCUUAGGAUUUUAUUCCUGUAACCUUGUAUAUAGUUCUUCUUCUAUGCAUGUCACAUAGAAAUCCCAUCUAUACUUCUUCAUCUAUGCAUGUCAUAUAGAAAC
rnacentral:lncRNA from 1 species